UGAUAUCAGGGGCAAAAGGUCAAAAAGCUGUUCGUGCUUGCACGAUAAAGCUUUUGAACUUGGGCCCCGCAGAAUUGCGGGAGCUGCCUCGCAGCAGAGCAAUUCGCAGAUAUCA
rnacentral:sRNA from 1 species